ensembl:lncRNA
CACCCUGACGCCAGGGCUGGCGCAGGAACUCACCUGCACCACCUGGCCAGCCCGGAUGGGGCAGGGAAGGCUCGCUGAGCUUCUCGGUCUGCGUCCUCGCUGGGUGGCCUCGGGGAGGUCACUGCGCCUCUCCUGGCAUCUGAGAAUAAAAGUAACAAUAAUAAUACUCACCCCAAACAACAAUACCAAAGAGCUUGGGAGCACAGGCUCUGCAGCCCAGUGGCCUUGGUUUAAAGCCACAUCCGCGCCGUGUGACGUCCAACAGCUGGCUUCAGCCUCCUGGCCUCAGCGGCCUUGUCUGUAAGAGAGUUCCUGCCUCGGAGGUUGUUCUGAAGACGCUGAGAGCAGAGUCUGGCCUGUGAGAAGCUAGCGUAAAUGAAGGUUGUUGUUGCUGUCACUCGCGCAUAGCCUAAACCAACUGGAGCCAGGGACAGUGCCCAAAGCUUCCUGCACCCCUGGGUGCAGACGGCAGGGGCUGCCCGCUCCUGGAGCGUCGGGCCCGGGGCUCCCCACAGGAACUUCCCCCGUGGCUGCCUCUGAGGGCUGAGAUGACAUCGCUUCCUCAAAGAGUGGGCUCUGCAGGGGGCCCACUUCAUCAUCGCUCUGGCCUCCCAGUCAGCAUCUGCCGCAGCCACAGUGUCUGGGGAGCGUGGGGGAGACGUCCGUCCCCGACUGCAAGGGAGGCUAGGACAGCGAUGCCUGGGCCCAGCCAGACUGCUGCGGGGAGAGCUCCGCAUUCCAGGAGGAUGUGCAAAGCCCAGCAUCUUGCUCUUCUACCCGAUGAAACGCUGACCAUACGCCAGGAACCCCCCACCUCCCUGCCUUCCCAUCCACCAUGAAUGCUGUUCCACUUGGGGCAGAAACUACUGGUCAUCCCCCAACUCUUCACGGAAGGAACUUUACCAGACCCACAGCUGCCUGGCUCAAGACCACAUCCCCAGCCUCCCUGGCAGCCAAGCAGGACCGUGAGCGUUUGAGGCCAUUGAAUGGGAGCAGAAGGGCUGCGGCCUCUCCCUUCCCUUUCCCCUUCCUGCCUGCUGGAGCGAGGACCUGGCGGUGGACACAGAGCCGGAACAGCCGCCUUGUACACCAGGCUGAAGUCACGCCAGGGUGGAAGGCUGCCCUGCGCAUCGUGGAGCCCCAUAGCUGGCCUGGACCUUCACAUGAAAGAGAGAUGAGCUUCCCACUGUGCUAAGCUGUCACCUUUCAGGUCUCUUCAUCAAUAACAGCCUAACCUUCACUGACUAACAACCACCCUCCCACUUCAGUAGCUGGCUCAGGUGGGUCACUAAGAAGUGCAUGUGCCAGGCUCCCACGGGCGCUCCUGGGUCGGAGCCCUCCAAGGAGGCUCGUGCUGGCUCCAUCUGAGGUGUCUGCCCAUCCAUGUCCUGUGCAGCGGCUACCAGGCCCCCAGACUCCUCUGCAGUGCCCUCUUCUCUCCAUUCUGGGUCCUCGUGAUGGUUCACAAGGAGCUGAUCCUCCCCUCAUGGCUGGGCCCCUGGCCCAGGUGUGGCCCCCUGGAGUGUUCAUCCAGGGAACGGUGUGUGACUCAAUGGAGGGGCCUCUUGAUUUAAGGCAGACGGCCCUCAUGGAGCCAGGGGACAGGGGCGCGCUUCCCACUGCCUUGCUCAGUGUGGGUUUGAGCCUGUGGCACAGAAGCCGCCUUUUAGGGAAACCUGCUGAGAAUGAACCAGCUCAGAGGAGAGCAGGGCUGAGGGGAGAACAGAGAGGGACAGCUUUCUGAUGACAUAACAUUUAAGUACCUGGUUAUAGCUUGGCCUGAAGCCAUCUCACGCCUGGAUUUUUCAGUUGCAAGGGCCAAUAAAUUCCCUUUGGGGCUUCACCAAUUUAAUUGAGGUUUUAUUACUUGCACCCGAGAGUCUUAGCUAAUAGCAUUUGUUUCAUUGAGGCAACGUUGCCUACCAAGUCUGGCCCCUGCACUUCACAGGCUCGCUUUGGACACUGGGGUUAACCCUAGGGAUCCGCCCGGAACCUGCCCAAGGGUCUUAAAUAAAGGGGACAAUGACUGGAAUAAAAUAAGCUCCUCUCUGUUAGUCACACACUGUGUGCCAAGCAUUUUAGUAGCCCUUACACUGAUUAAUUCAUUCGAUGCUCAAAACGAUCCUGGAGGUGCUAUCACCCAUUUGACAGACUAAGAAACUGAGGCCCGGCGCCAUAGCUGGGCCCCAGCCCAGAGCAGGCUAGCGCAGUCUGUAUGCCUUCCCCACCCUUGCAGAGGAGGCAGCGGGGCACACUCUAGGGGGCAGCAGGUUUCCCGGCCCAGGACACGUGAAUGGGGACAGGGUGACCCCUGGACAGAGUGGUUGGGGCUGAAUUACGUGCGACGUGCUGUGUGGGGAGAGGAGGUGGGAGGAAACCACCAGAAUUCGUCUUCCACUCUGGGCUUCUCCACACUUUCCCCAGCCAUCUGCUUAUUCCAGAAAGCCGCCUGACCUCACGCCUGCCGUCUGGGAAUGGGCAGCCCCUGCCCCCACGGCCCGCUCAUUCGUGACUCAUCCCCACCCAGCCCUCCCCCUGGUGUGACAAAGCUCCUGGCGCUUCUGACAACUUCUGGUCACCCUGACCAGACACCGCCCAGCCUUGCUGUUCGGCAGCUCUCCUGGCAGAGGGGGAGGGCAACAGGGUCCAGGGCGCUCAGCUCAGAGGCUGGCACCUCCCCAUUGGGCUGGAAAACUAGGCUGAGGGGUCUCAGAGCCCCUUCUCUACUGGAGCAGCCCAGAGAGGGGAGGGAUUUGCCUAAGGCCACACAGUGAAGCCCUAAGGGCCUGAAAGGGGCCCCCAGAACAGAAAAGGCAGCCCAGAGACAGGAGGCCUAGUCCCAGCAAGGUUCCUGUCCACUCUGGGCCUCAGUUUUCCAUCUGGGAAAUGGGAGAGGCUGACUCUGAUUUUAAUAAAUAAGUUAGGAAAUACGUAUAGUAAAACAUUCAACACCAGCAAAUCUACCUUCCUAAGAAAACCUCUUCCAAUCACUUUUGAUCUAUACAUGGAUAUAUAUAUAUAUAUGUAUGAAUGUAUAUAUGCAUGACUCUAUGUAUGUAUGCCCACAAUCAAAUUCUAAUGAACAUUUUUU